UGGGGAAUAUUGGACAAUGGGGGAAACCCUGAUCCAGCGAUGCCGCGUGGGUGAAGAAGGCCUUCGGGUUGUAAAGCCCUUUAGGUUGGGAAGAAAGCUUAGCGAAGAUAACGCGUUAAGUGUGACGGUACCAACAGAAUAAGCACCGGCAAACUCUGUGCCAGCAGCCGCGGUAAUACAGAGGGUGCGAGCGUUAAUCGGAUUUACUGGGCGUAAAGGGUGCGUAGGCGGUUGGAUGAGUGUGAUGUGAAAGCCCUGGGCUUAACCUAGGAAGUGCAUCGCAAACGAUUCAACUAGAGUAUAGGAGAGGGUGGUGGAAUUUCCGGUGUAGCGGUGAAAUGCGUAGAGAUCGGAAGGAACGUCAAUGGCGAAAGCAGCCACCUGGCCUAAAACUGACGCU
rnacentral:rRNA from 1 species